rnacentral:tRNA from 1 species
GCAUCCGUAGCUCAGCUGGAUAGAGUACUGCCCUCCGAAGGCAGGGGUCGGACGUUCGAAUCGUCUCGGAUGCGCCA